rnacentral:rRNA from 1 species
CCCCUAGAUGUUCUGGGCCGCACGCGCGCUACACUGAACAGUUCAACAAGUCUUAACCUUGGCCGAUAGGUCUGGGUAAUCUUUGAACGCUGUUCGUGAUUGGGAUAGACCUUUGCAAUUAUGGGUCUUCAACGAGGAAUUCCUAGUAAACGCAAGUCAUCAGCUUGCAUUGAUUACGUACCUGCCCUUUGUACACACCGCCCGUCGCACCUACCGAUUGAAUGGUCCGGUGAAAUCUCGGGACGGCGGCUUGGUCGCUUGCGUCCGACUGCUGAAACUUGAUUAAACCAUAUCAUUUAGAGGAAGGUGAAGUCGUAACA